rnacentral:lncRNA from 1 species
UCAAGAGAAGCUCUCAUCUUGCUCUUACAAAAAGCCCACAUUCUUCUGUGAUACCUUGUCAUUAUUUGUAUGCAUCUAAACUGCCCAUAACAAUAGAAGAUUUCUCUUAAGUGACCUAAAUCAAAGGCCCCAUUGGAUUCUCAAGCAUAUUCCCACAUAGGGCUCAAUUGAAUAUACUAGGGAAUCUGUUACUCUAUGACACAGUUAGUACCUAAAGAUCUCAUUCUACUUCUCUGACCAAGAUCCUCGCCUGGAAAUCGUCACAGCAUCGCAGCGCAAUCCGGCAUUGUGCUCGGCAGUGGCGAAGGCACAGCUCGGACUAACAGCGAAUAUCUCGAGUGAAGCAGCGGCAUUCCAGGGAAACGCGAUCGAUUGCAGAUCUCCUCGUUGCCCUAGCUGCGCUAGAAGAUCCUGACUAGAGUUCUGCCACGUAGGACCGCCCCGUGUCUGAGAUUCUAUAGUAGCGCAAUUUUCGAAAGGCACUCGCGCUAGUGCUUUGAUUCCUCGUCUAGGGGUUUUAGCUGGGAGCAAGCUUGCUAGAUCGCCGAUCAAUGGAAGGAUGGUGGCGUUGGUGCCAAUGUAUAUGCAUUUCAGUCGCCAGGGAGGAGCGAAAUCUUCGAGCGA